rnacentral:rRNA from 1 species
GACGAACGCUGGCGGCGUGCUUAACACAUGCAAGUCGAACGGAAAGGCCUCUUUCGGGGGGUACUCGAGUGGCGAACGGGUGAGUAACACGUGAGUAACCUGCCCUUGACUUUGGGAUAACUUCAGGAAACUGGGGCUAAUACCGGAUAGGAGCUCCUGCUGCAUGGUGGGGGUUGGAAAGUUUCGGCGGUUGGGGAUGGACUGGCGGCUUAUCAGCUUGUUGGUGGGGUAGUGGCUUACCAAGGCUUUGACGGGUAGCCGGCCUGAGAGGGUGACCGGCCACAUUGGGACUGAGAUACGGCCCAGACUCCGACGGGAGGCAGCAGUGGGGAAUAUUGCACAAUGGGUGGAAGCCUGAUGCAGCAACGCCGUGUGCGGGAUGACGGCCUUCGGGUUGUAAACCGCUUUCGCUCAUGACGAAGCUUUGUGUGACGGUAGUGGGUAAAGAAGCACCGGCUAACUACGUG